rnacentral:misc_RNA from 1 species
GAUGAAGAACGUAGCGAAAUGCGAUACGUAAUGUGAAUUGCAGAAUUCAGUGAAUCAUCGAAUCUUUGAACGCAUAUUGCGCUCUCUGGUAUUCCGGAGAGCAUGCUUGUUUGAGUAUCAGUAAACACCUCAACUUCCAUAUCUUUUUUGAAAUGGGAGUUGGACUUGAGUGAUCCCAACGCUUUUCCUCACCGAAAAGUGGCGGGUUACUUGAAAUGCAGGUGCAGCUGGACUUUUCUCUGAGCUAUAAGCAUAUCUAUUUAGUCUGCCUAAAAAACAGAUUAUUACCUUUGCUGCAGCUAACAUAAAGGAGAUUAGUUCUUGUGCUGACUGAUGCAGGAUUCACAAAGACAGGCUUCGGCCGACUUUGUAAACUCGAUCUCAAAUCAAGUAAGACUACCCGCUGAACUUAAGCAUAUCAAUAAGCGGAGGA